GACGAACGCUGGCGGCGUGCUUAACACAUGCGAGUCGAACGGAAAGGCCCUGCUUUUGUGGGGUGCUCGAGUGGCGAACGGGUGAGUAACACGUGAGUAACCUGCCCUUGACUUUGGGAUAACUUCAGGAAACUGGGGCUAAUACCGGAUAGGAGCUCCUGCUGCAUGGUGGGGGUUGGAAAGUUUCGGCGGUUGGGGAUGGACUCGCGGCUUAUCAGCUUGUUGGUGGGGUAGUGGCUUACCAAGGCUUUGACGGGUAGCCGGCCUGAGAGGGUGACCGGCCACAUUGGGACUGAGAUACGGCCCAGACUCCUACGGGAGGCAGCAGUGGGGAAUAUUGCACAAUGGGCGGAAGCCUGAUGCAGCAACGCCGCGUGCGGGAUGACGGCCUUCGGGUUAUAAACCGCUUUCGCCUGUGACGAAGCGUGAGUGACGGUAAUGUGUAAAGAAGCACCGGCUAACUACGUG
rnacentral:rRNA from 1 species